rnacentral:rRNA from 1 species
CGUAGGUGGCAAGCGUUGUCCGGAUUUACUGGGCGUAAAGAGCGCGCAGGCGGUCGUGCAAGUCGCGUGUGAAAGCCCCCGGCUCAACUGGGGAGGGUCACGCGAUACUGUUCGACUCGAAGGCAGGAGAGGGAAGUGGAAUUCCCGGUGUAGUGGUGAAAUGCGUAGAUAUCGGGAGGAACACCAGUGGCGAAGGCGACUUCCUGGCCUGUUCUUGACGCUGAGGCGCGAAAGCUAGGGUAGCAAACGGGAUUAGAUACCCCGGUAGUCCUAGCCGUAAACGAUGGACACUAGGUGUUGGUGGUAUCAACCCCGCCAGUGCCGAAGCUAACGCAUUAAGUGUCCCGCCUGGGGAUACGGCCGCAAGGCUA